rnacentral:rRNA from 1 species
GCCAGACUCCUACGGGAGGCAGCAGUGAGGAAUAUUGGUCAAUGGGCGAGAGCCUGAACCAGCCAAGUCGCGUGAGGGAGUACUGCCCUAUGGGUUGUAAACCUCUUUUGUCGGGGAGCAAAAGCCGGACGUGUCCGUCUGUGAGAGUACCCGAAGAAAAAGCAUCGGCUAACUCCGUGCCAGCAGCCGCGGUAAUACGGAGGAUGCGAGCGUUAUCCGGAUUUAUUGGGUUUAAAGGGUGCGUAGGCGGUCCAUUAAGUCAGGGGUAAAAUUGGGGGGCUCAACCCCGUCGAGCCGUUGAAACUGGCAGACUUGAGUUGGCGAGAAGUACGCGGAAUGCGCGGUGUAGCGGUGAAAUGCAUAGAUAUCGCGCAGAACUCCGAUUGCGAAGGCAGCGUACCGGCGCCAGACUGACGCUGAGGCACGAAAGCGUGGGGAUCGAACAGGAUUAGAUACCCUCGUAA